AUCUAAUUGACGAGUCCCAAGUAAGACGGAACGUACGUCCUGGAU
rfam:Schistosoma mansoni, Puerto Rico, WGS project CABG01000000 data, contig: 0193